AUUGAACGCUGGCGGCAGGCCUAACACAUGCAAGUCGAACGGUAACAGGAAGCAGCUUGCUGCUUCGCUGACGAGUGGCGGACGGGUGAGUAAUGUCUGGGAAGCUGCCUGAUGGAGUGGGAUAACUACUGGAAACGGUAGCUAAUACCGCAUAAUGUCGCAAGACCAAAGAGGGGGACCUUCGGGCCUCUUGCCAUCGGAUGUGCCCAGAUGGGAUUAGCUUGUUGGUGGGGUAACGGCUCACCAAGGCGACGAUCCCUAGCUGGUCUGAGAGGAUGACCAGCCACACUGGAACUGAGACGCGGUCCAGACUCCUACGGGAGGCAGCAGUGGGGAAUAUUGCACAAUGGGCGCAAGCCUGAUGCAGCCAUGCCGCGUGUAUGAAGAAGGCCUUCGGGUUGUAAAGUACUUUCAGCGGGGAGGUAGGGAGUAAAGUUAAUACCUUUGCUCAUUGACGUUACCCGCAGAAGAAGCACCGGCUAACUCCGUG
rnacentral:rRNA from 1 species